rnacentral:rRNA from 1 species
GACGAACGCUGGCGGCGUGCUUAACACAUGCAAGUCGAACGGAAAGGCCCUGCUUUUGUGGGGUGCUCGGGUGGCGAACGGGUGAGUAACACGUGAGUAACCUGCCCUUGACUUUGGGAUAACUUCAGGAAACUGGGGCUAAUACCGGAUAGGAGCUCCUGCUGCAUGGUGGGGGUUGGAAAGUUUCGGCGGUUGGGGAUGGACUCGCGGCUUAUCAGCUUGUUGAUGGGGUAGUGGCUUACCAAGGCUUUGACGGGUAGCCGGCCUGAGAGGGUGACCGGCCACAUUGGGACUGAGAUACGGCCCAGACUCCUACGGGAGGCAGCAGUGGGGAAUAUUGCACAAUGGGCGGAAGCCUGAUGCAGCAACGCCGCGUGCGGGAUGACGGCCUUCGGGUUGUAAACCGCUUUCGCCUGUGACGAAGCGUGAGUGACGGUAAUGGGUAAAGAAGCACCGGCUAACUACGUG